CCUGCCUGUAAGAUUGGGAUAACUCCGGGAAACCGGAGCUAAUACCGGAUAACAAUUUGAACCGCAUGGUUCAAAUUUGAAAGACGGCUUUUGCUGUCACUUACAGAUGGACCCGCGGCGCAUUAGCUAGUUGGUGAGGUAACGGCUCACCAAGGCAACGAUGCGUAGCCGACCUGAGAGGGUGAUCGGCCACACUGGGACUGAGACACGGCCCAGACUCCUACGGGAGGCAGCAGUAGGGAAUCUUCCGCAAUGGACGAAAGUCUGACGGAGCAACGCCGCGUGAACGAUGAAGGCCUUCGGGUCGUAAAGUUCUGUUGUUAGGGAAGAACAAGUACUAGAGUAACUGCUAGUACCUUGACGGUACCUAACCAGAAAGCCACGGCUAACUACGUGCCAGCAGCCGCGGUAAUACGUAGGUGGCAAGCGUUGUCCGGAAUUAUUGGGCGUAAAGCGCGCGCAGGUGGUUCCUUAAGUCUGAUGUGAAAGCCCACGGCUCAACCGUGGAGGGUCAUUGGAAACUGGGGAACUUGAGUGCAGAAGAGGAAAGUGGAAUUCCAAGUGUAGCGGUGAAAUG
rnacentral:rRNA from 2 species